rnacentral:snRNA from 1 species
AGCUUUGCGUAGUGGCAAUAUCAUAGCCAAUGAGGUUUAUCCAAGGGGCAAUUAUUGCUAAUUAAAGGCAACUCUUUAAAAAACAAAUAAGCAUAUAUAUAUAUAUAUAUAUAUGUGUGUGUGUGUGUGUGUGUG